GUGUGUCGGUGUGUAUGUGUGUGUGUGAGUGUGCGCGCUCCGAGUGUGUGUGUAUUUGUGUAUCGGCGGUCCCGCAGGUCCCGGAUGUUGCGGACAGUAUGAGGCAAGCGCAGGGGGACGGGGACCAGCAGCUGUCGCCGCCGCUCUCAGGGUGAAGAGGGAACAGAAAUCUUUGCCCCCUGACUUUGGAAAUCUCGUUUAACCUUCAAACUGGCGAUGUCAAGGGUUCCAAGUCCUCCACCUCCGGCAGAAAUGUCGAGUGGCCCCGUAGCUGAGAGUUGGUGCUACACACAGGUAAGUUGAAGUUUUCAGCCUGUGAAUCUUGCAUCUGGGGAGGAUUUGGUGGACGAAAGGAGUAGGAUUGCUUUUCUACAUUGGGCUUCUUGCUUUCUCUGGAACAUAACUGCCAAAGAGCAGAUAGAUAAGAUACUUGUUAGCCUCAGGUUCCUUAGUUUUCCAUGUGGAAUCUAAAUUCCCUAGGCUAGUGUUUUUCAGUGGAGGUUGAAAGGGGGAAUCUUUGAAACUAGAUCUGCUUACAUUGCCCUUGAUGAAAGUGUGUUCUGAGUUUCCUCUGUUGGGGAAACAAGUUUGAGAUGUGCAACCCCAGGCAGUG
rnacentral:lncRNA from 1 species